AAGCCUACGGGAGGCAGCAGUAGGGAAUUUUCGUCAAUGGGCGCAAGCCUGAACGAGCAAUGCCGCGUGAACGAGGAAGGUCUUCGGAUCGUAAAGUUCUGUUGAAGGGGAAAAAGAGCGGAGAGAGGAAAUGCUUUCUGAUUGAUAUUACCCUUCGAGGAAGUCACGGCUAACUACGUGCCAGCAGCCGCGGUAAUACGUAGGUGGCAAGCGUUGUCCGGAUUUACUGGGUGUAAAGGGCGUGCAGCCGGAGAGACAAGUCAGAUGUGAAAUCCACGGGCUCAACCCGUGAACUGCAUUUGAAA
rnacentral:rRNA from 1 species